rnacentral:lncRNA from 1 species
UGCUGAAGGCUGAGGCUGCGGCCUUCCUCCCAUGCUCCCUCUUGGUGAGUGUGGUGUUUAGAUGUCCUGUGCAUGCCCCUGCUCACCCCAGGUGCCUUAAGACUGCACAGCCCAGUUUUAACCUCUCAUAUUCGUGACCAAACGACCCUGACGCACAGGGACCUGGGCCUCUGCCGACCGUCAGGAGCAAAACUUGAAGGUGGGGCACGGUAGGACUGGAAGAGAAUGGAGCACCUUGGGUCCUGCCUGCUCAGGAUGCCGAGGCCAGGAUGAGAAGUGACUCUCUCAAGGUCACACAGGUAGUGGUAGAACAAGAGCCCAGGCUUCCUGUUUCCAAGUCACCUGUGUUUCCUGGGACCAAAUACUGAGCACCUGCUGGAGUCUGGGCAGAGCAGCCUGGCCCUGUUCUACUCCAGGCCUCCCGAAUGCAGGGGUUGCAUUGGAGGGUUCACGGCCCGUGCCAAGCUCAGCAGAACAGUUUUAACACUCGGCCUCUCUGGUAACCGUUUAUUUCUCCUUCUGUCCCCAGCCAGUCGUGUGGCACGGGAGCUGUGCUGGGAAGCAGAGUGGAGAGGAGCUGUGGGGCAGCCAGCCUUGGCAGGUGCCUGUGCAGUUCACUGCAGCUCCCUCCCCCCUUUGUUUCCUCGAUUUAAGCAUAGACUGUGCCAGCUGCAGGAAGGAACUUCAGUCCCUCAGGCUGGCAGCCACAGCAGGUACCUGCCUGGGGGAGCCUGGCAGCCAUGGAGAAGGCUGAAAGGCAGAAAGACACAGGUCUUCUGCCUCUCUACCUCACUGUGCAUGGCGAUGCUGACCCCCCCUUACCUCCCUUCCCAGAACUAAUACACGGGUGCUAUUAGUCAGGAAAAAAACUGAGCAGCUCUGGCCAGCAGCAAGGUUUCUUCUCUUCUGCCCCAACUAUUGUGUGGCCUCUUGUGCUGAAAUCGGCUUCUCUGGCUUCAGAGCCUGAAACAAAGAGAAACAGGAUCUGUCUCUACCCAGCACAGCAAAUGGUGGUAGUAAUUGCCAAAGCCCUCAUAAACCCCUCCGGCUUGAGGAGAGUGCAAUCAGGCUCUGCCGCCUGCACUUGCUGAGAACCUCCCCUCUGCCUCCUUUCCUGAACUCAGAGGUAGGGACUAAGCACAGGUGCCAGCAGGCCCUCCUGCUGUGGCUACUCCAGAGUGCUCUGUGUCUCCAUGUGUCCGCAUCCCCCACCCCGCAUCCCCCACCCCCGUCCCCCCAAAUCCAGUGUCUGGCACAGGGCUUGGCGCUCAACUCCAUGCUGUGCAUGUUUCCCACCCUGUGCCUUAGAAGCUGAAGGCUCUUUCAUCAGAACCUUAAAAUGGCUGUUGAUGGUACCCUGGCUGCAGCCCAGCAGGGGCCUGGAGAGGCUGGGGAGGGCAGUGGUCCUUCCAAAUAGAAGUCCUGGGGCCUGGCCAGGCCAGGGUUUGGGCCUAAUGGUUUUUACUAAAUUACUCCCCUCCUGCUCUCUGAGAAAGGGGAGCCAGAGCCGUUCACUGUGGUUCUGUUCCGACCUUGAAGGGGCGGUAUUGGCCUGGCUUCUGGAAUGGACAGAGUCCACCAGGAAAGACUGGGGGCGGAAGGAGAUGGGGAGGGGCCCUGUCUGCGGAAGGUAGGAUUAGAUCAUUAGCUCAGUGACCUCCUAGGGUUUCUAUGUGCUGUGUUCUCAUCCUACAGCUGGUUUGGUAAUGAUCUGCAAGUCCCGGAGAGCAACAGCACAGCUCUGCCUGACGCUCUCAUUAAAAUCCAUGCAGCCAAGCUCUGCGCUUUGUAGCAGUCGGCCUUGCAGAGCCUCCUCAGCUUGGGGGGCUGGGGACCCAGUCAGCUGAGAGGUCCCCUAGGCUCUACUUAGGCAUAUGUGUAUCCCCCACCAAAAAAAAAAUGUUUUUUAAAACAUGCUUCUUUAAACCCAGAGCCCUUUAAAAUAAUAAAGGACCCGGCGCAGGUGGGUGUGUUUGUGGAAUCCUGUAAAUGGGGAACACAAAGUUUAGUGACAUUUAAACUGGGCUGAGGCUGUAAGUGUAUAAAGCAGUGGCCCAUAAGGACUCUUAAGCGCUGAAGCCAAGGAGCCACCUCCCUUCCCAGUCUGCCUAGCCCAGGGGGCCUGCCCCCAUUCCUGUAGCCCAGGGGCCCAGCUUGCAAUUGGUAGUGUCAGAAGUGACUUGUAGCUUUGCCUUGGUUGUGAGAUGAUUUCAUUCCAGGGGAGGGGGUGGGGGGAUCCCUUGGAGGCUCAGAGCAGCUGGCCCAAGCUCCGGCUCGCCUCCAGUGGAAGCUGCAGCGCCCUCAGAAACGACCCUGGCCAAUGUCACUGCAGAGCUGAGGCGGCCUUGUCAGGGCUAAUGUGAAAUCUCUUCCCGUGGCGCCGAUCCUCUGACUCUAUAGCGCCAGCUUGGACAGAUUGAGGUCUCUGUGGCUUUGGUGACCCUGCUUAAGCAUUCCCACCGUGUCCCUGCUCUGCACGAGGACUGCCUCCUGCUGCAGCCCCUUACUUGACCUCAGGGCCUGGGGAGGGAAGCACUGGGCCAGGACCAAGCGCUCCAACUCAGGAGAUAUGUCAGCCUUUGUGGGGAGGAGGGGGUGAAGCAUUGAGCUUGGCUGGUGCCCAUCCGACCUGGGACCAGGUGUUGCACAGAGAAGUGCUUCUGUGCCUCCUGCCUCGUUCACUUUAGUGGGGCCUCAGCGAAGGCUGAGGACAAUUCUGUUCCUGUAUUAACUUUAUUCAGUUAAUUGACCUGAGGAACUAACCAAUUUUUAUUUUCUGCCUAGAAUGAUUUACACAUAGGAGAGAAAGCUAUCAUGUUACCAAAGUGCCUUGUUUUCUCUGAUAUAAAUAUAUUUAUAAGGACAUAUUCCAGUAGGUUCUUGGUGUUUCCCAUAUCAAGAUUUCCACAUAGUGGGAAUACCAGGCCCUUUUCUCCCAGAGGUUGGAAGGGGAAAUCUGAGCAGUGGAAUGAAGCCACCCCACAUGGUGCCCCCUCUGCCCUUGUCCUACAGGUAAAAGAAGAUACACACACACACAAAAAUUUUUUUGAGAUGGUGUUUCAGGUAGAUGACAUGGGCCUUGACCUUACUAUGUAGCUGAAGAUGGCCUUGAACUCCUGACCCUCUGCCUCAGCCAUGCCUGACUAGGACAUCCGAUUUUUUUUUGUUUUAAGUCUGGUUUCAUUUGCUUCACUGCCAGGCUCACAGUGUGUACCAUCGUAUUUGUACUCCUACAACCCGAAGAUUCCAUGUAACUUAUGUAUGCGCAUGAAUACUUUAAAUGCCAACAUUUUCAAUAAUUUGAUAAAGUCUUUGUAGUCAGUCA